UGCGAGUCACGUGUCUCUAGCUAUGUUGAGACACGGCAGACGGCUCAGUAACGCGUGGCUAACCUGCCCUCAGGACGAAGAUAACCCCGGGAAACUGGGGAUAAUAUUCGAUAGGUGAGGAUGUCUGGAAUGACUUCUCUCCUAAAGGACCUAGAUACAUGCUUCUAUGUCGCCUGGGGAUGGGGCCGCGCCCGAUCAGGUUGUUGGUGAGGUAACGGCUCACCAAGCCUAUAACCGGUACGGGCCGUGAGGGCGGUAGCCCGGAGAUGGGUACUGAGACAAGGACCCAGGCCCUACGGGGCGCAGCAGUCGCGAAAACUCCGCAAUGCACGAAAGUGUGACGGGGCUACCCCGAGUGCCAUCCGCUGAGGAUGGCUUUUCUUUGGUAUAACUAGCCAUUGGAAUAAGGAGAGGGCAAGACUGGUGUCAGCCGCCGCGGUAAUACCAGCUCUCCGAGUGGUAGGGAUGAUUAUUGGGCUUAAAGCGUCCGUAGCCGGCUUAGCAAGUUUCCUGUUAAACCCAGCGACUCAAUCGUUGGAUCGCGGGAAAUACUACUAGGCUAGGAGGCGGGAGAGGUCAACGGUACUUCUGGGGUAGGGGUGAAAUCCUAUAAUCCCGGGAGGACCACCAGUGGCGAAGGCUGUUGACUAGAACGCGCUCGACGGUGAGGGACGAAAGCUGGGGGAGCGAACCGGAUUAGAUACCCGGGUAGUCCCAGCUGUAAACGAUGCGAGCUAGGUGUUGGGAUGGCUACGGCCAUUUCAGUGCCGCAGGAAGCCAUUAAGCUCGCGCCUGGGGAGUACGGCGCAAGGCUGAACUUAA
rnacentral:rRNA from 1 species